CAGCCGCCGCGGUAAUACGAAGGGUGCAAGCGUUACUCGGAAUUACUGGGCGUAAAGCGUGCGUAGGUGGUUGUUUAAGUCUGUUGUGAAAGCCCUGGGCUCAACCUGGGAAUUGCAGUGGAUACUGGGCGACUAGAGUAAGGUAGAGGAUAGUGGAAUUUCCGGUGUAGCAGUGAAAUGCGUAGAGAUCGGAAGGAACAUCUGUGGCGAAGGCGACUAUCUGGGCCAUUACUGACACUGAGGCACGAAAGCGUGGGGAGCAAACAGGAUUAGAUACCCCAGUAGUCCCUGUCUCUUAUAA
rnacentral:rRNA from 1 species